rnacentral:misc_RNA from 1 species
GCCAAGGGAUAAUGCAGCCCAUGGUGACGCUAUUGAACGGCCAAUUGUUGCACAUAGACAUCCUGUCUACAAUGAGGACUCUAAAGAGGAAGAUGAAUAUGAACCCCAUGAAUUCCCUAAACAUUAACAGCAAGGGGAAUAUGGGAGAAGAGGUGCUCAUGGUUAUGAUGAGCGGGAAAAUAAGGAUUUUCGGCUCAAAGUUGAAAUUCCCAACUUCAAUGGGAGCUUCAACAUUGAGAUAUUUCUGGAUUGG